UUAGUACUUUUGCGAUAAGCCAGUGUUUAUCGAGAUGUUUUGAAUAUUUAUCGAAUCCACCACAUAUUUGUAUAUGGUUAAGGCCCGGUCUUUUCACCUCCGAAUAAAUAUGCUCUUAUCUGGCAGUUAGCUAUCUGGAGGAUAAAUAUUUAUUCGCCAGAUAAAAUGUACCCGUCUUUUCACGUCAAUUUAUGUUCCAGUUAGUUAUCCGGUAGAUAAGCUUAAAACUUUAACUUAACCUAACAUAAUUAUAUUCAAAGUAUUUCAAAGAUGAUUUUAUCGAUUUUAUUUCCAUUUUGGAAGAAGGAAUGAAGGAAAUAAGGAAAACAUUGAUUAUGCUGAAAUAGUUUACUGGAGAGCUUGAACAAGAGGUAAAUCCAUUUUAAAUUAGAGGAAAACUGUUGAUUUGUAUGUAAAAUAGAAGACAAAGACAAGUUUAAAUAAAGACAAGCUAGCUAAUGAAACAGAUGCAGUGAUAUGACAAACACCUAGAAGAUGGAAUCCUGUGUUCUCAAAGAAAAAGCUAGUUCCAGAAAUAAGCUACCAAUAAUAAACUAGAGAAUGUAUUACAAGAAAGAACAACGCUAAUACCCAACAUAGCUCAAUUGCUUCAGAUAGAAAAAGAGGAGGAAAGGGUAGAACACAAGCGUGCCAGAGAAAAUUAAAGGGCAGAAGAGACACAAAAAUUCAUUGAUUUAUUAAAUUUAAUAAUUAAAUUAUACAAAGGACAAUUAAAUAAAGAAUAAAAAAUUA